rnacentral:tRNA from 3 species
GGCCUGGUGGCAGAGUGGUCAUGUAGCGGCCUGCAAAGCCGCGUACGCCGGUUCGAUUCCGACCCAGGCCUCCA